rnacentral:rRNA from 1 species
UGAUGCAGCCAUGCCGCGUGUGUGAAGAAGGCCUUCGGGUUGUAAAGCACUUUCAGUAGGGAGGAAGGUAGUGUAGUUAACACCUGCAUUAUUUGACGUUACCUACAGAAGAAGCACCGGCUAACUCCGUGCCAGCAGCCGCGGUAAUACGGAGGGUGCGAGCGUUAAUCGGAAUUACUGGGCGUAAAAGCGCAUGCAGGCGGCCUGUUAAGUCAGAUGUGAAAGCCCGGGGCUUAACCUCGGAAUUGCAUUUGAAACUGGCAGGCUAGAGUCUUGUAGAGGGGGUAGAAUUUCAGGUGUAGCGGUGAAAUGCGUAGAGAUCUGAAGGAAUACCAGUGGCGAAGGCGGCCCCCUGGACAAAGACUGACGCUCAGAUGCGAAAGCGUGGGGAGCAAACAGGAUUAGAUACCCUGGUAG